rnacentral:rRNA from 1 species
UGAGUUUGAUCAUGGCUCAGGAUGAACGCUGGCGGCGUGCCUAACACAUGCAAGUCGAGCGAGAAUCUGCGGAUUAAUGCUUUCGGGCAAAGAGAAGCAGAGGGAAGCGGCGGACGGGUGAGUAACGCGUGAGCAACCUGCCCUCCACACGGGGAUAGCCACCGGAAACGGUGAUUAAUACCCGAUAGUUAGUAAGAUCGCAUGAUUUUACUAGGAAAGAUUUAUCGGUGGGGGAUGGGCUUGCGUCUGAUUAGCUAGUUGGUGGGGUAAUGGCUCACCAAGGCGACGAUCAGUAGCCGACCUAAGAGGGUGAUCGGCCACACUGGAACUGAGAUACGGUCCAGACUCCUACGGGAGGCAGCAGUGGGGGAUAUUGCACAAUGGAGGGAACUCUGAUGCAGCAACGCCGCGUGAGUGAUGAAGUUCUUA